GGGGUGUUAGCUCAGCUGGGAGAGCGCCUGCUUCGCAUGUAGGAGGUCACGGGUUCGAAUCCCGUACGCUCCACCA
rnacentral:tRNA from 1 species